CCCUUAGACGUUCUGGGCCGCACGCGCGCUACACUGACCAGUGCAACAAGCAUCCGUCCUUGGCCGACAGGCCCGGGCAAUCUUUGAACGCUGGUCGUGAUGGGGAUAGACUUUUGCAAUUUUUGGUCUUCAACGAGGAAUUCCUAGUAAACGCAAGUCAUCAACUUGCAUUGAUUACGUCCCUGCCCUUUGUACACACCGCCCGUCGCUCCUACCGAUUGAAUGCUCAGGUGAGCCAUUCGGACUUUCAUCAUGCUGGUUUCCAGUUUUGAUGAAGGAAAGUCUUGCGAACCUUAUCAUUUAGAGGAAGGAGAAGUCGUAACA
rnacentral:rRNA from 1 species